rnacentral:rRNA from 1 species
GACGAACGCUGGCGGCGUGCUUAACACAUGCAAGUCGAACGCUGAAGCUCAGCUUUUGUUGGGUGGAUGAGUGGCGAACGGGUGAGUAACACGUGAGUAACCUGCCCCCUUCUUUGGGAUAACGCCCGGAAACGGGUGCUAAUACUGGAUAUUCACUGGUCUUCGCAUGGGGGUUGGUGGAAAGGGUUUUUCUGGUGGGGGAUGGGCUCGCGGCCUAUCAGCUUGUCGGUGGGGUGAUGGCCUACCAAGGCUUUGACGGGUAGCCGGCCUGAGAGGGUGACCGGUCACAUUGGGACUGAGAUACGGCCCAGACUCCUACGGGAGGCAGCAGUGGGGAAUAUUGCACAAUGGGCGCAAGCCUGAUGCAGCGACGCCGCGGGAGGGAUGGAGGCCUUCGGGUUGUGAACCUCUUUCGCUCAUGGUCAAGCCGCAACAAUGGUUGUGGUGAGGGUAGUGGGUAAAGAAGCGCCGGCUAACUACGUG